CUCACGGCCUAUCAGCUAGUUGGUGAGGUAAUGGCUCACCAAGGCGACGACGGGUAGCCGGCCUGAGAGGGUGACCGGCCACACUGGGACUGAGACACGGCCCAGACUCCUACGGGAGGCAGCAGUGGGGAAUAUUGCACAAUGGGCGCAAGCCUGAUGCAGCAACGCCGCGUGAGGGACGANGGCCUUCGGGUUGUAAACCUCUUUUAGCAGGGAAGAAGCGAGAGUGACGGUACCUGCAGAAAAAGCACCGGCUAACUACGUGCCAGCAGCCGCGGUAAUACGUAGGGUGCAAGCGUUGUCCGGAAUUAUUGGGCGUAAAGAGCUCGUAGGCGGUUUGUCACGUCUGCUGUGAAAACCCGAGGCUCAACCUCGGGCUUGCAGUGGGUACGGGCAGACUAGAGUGCGGUAGGGGAGAUUGGAAUUCCUGGUGUAGCGGUGGAAUGCGCAGAUAUCAGGAGGAACACCGAUGGCGAAGGCAGAUCUCUGGGCCGUAACUGACGCUGAGGAGCGAAAGCAUGGGGAGCAAACAGG
rnacentral:rRNA from 1 species